rnacentral:rRNA from 1 species
AGUGAACGCUGGCGGUAGGCCUAACACAUGCAAGUCGAACGGCAGCACAGGAGAGCUUGCUCUCUGGGUGGCGAGUGGCGGACGGGUGAGGAAUACAUCGGAAUCUACUUUUUCGUGGGGGAUAACGUAGGGAAACUUACGCUAAUACCGCAUACGACCUACGGGUGAAAGCAGGGGAUCUUCGGACCUUGCGCGAUUGAAUGAGCCGAUGUCGGAAUAGCUAGUUGGCGGGGUAAAGGCCCACCAAGGCGACGAUCCGUAGCUGGUCUGAGAGGAUGAUCAGCCACACUGGAACUGAGACACGGUCCAGACUCCUACGGGAGGCAGCAGUGGGGAAUAUUGGACAAUGGGCGCAAGCCUGAUCCAGCCAUACCGCGUGGGUGAAGAAGGCCUUCGGGUUGUAAAGCCCUUUUGUUGGGAAAGAAAUCCAGCCGGCUAAUACCCGGUUGGGAUGACGGUACCCAAAGAAUAAGCACCGGCUAACUUCGUGUCAGCAGCCGCCGCCGUAA